ensembl:lncRNA
UGUGAGCUGAUCCAAUAAAUAAUAAAUCCCCUUGGGUGGAGAUCAGGGUGGGUGUAAGAAUGUAAGACGCAGUGUUGGAAGGGAAGGUACAGUUUUCUCAACCUAUCCUUUAGUUCUAAGUUCAGAAACUGAGGCCUCACCGGUCGUGACUGGCCGGAUCUCUCCGACCUUCCUUCCGGGGAUGAAGUGCGAGUGUCCUGGAGGGAAGCUGCCCCACACCACGAAGAGCGCCCCUGCCUCCCUUCUCAGAAAGAAGACCGGAUGCAGAGGGCGGAAGUGACUCCCAGAGGUCAUUCCAGAGAUAUCACACUCACCGAGUUUACAGGCAAAAGAAGAAAAUCCCAAGAAAAGGGUGGCGGGGAGCAAAGCAAAGACAAAAUCCUUCUCCUGACUGCUUGAGCCCUGCCUAUUCCCUGAGGAUUAAACUCUGAACGCGUCCCUCACACGGAAAGGACCACAGCUUCCAGGCAAGAUGUGUGAAUGUGAGUCUUGCUCUUCUACCUUCUACCACCGCACAAUGAGGCAGGAAGCUCUCCCCAGAUGCAGCUCCUUGACUUUGGACUUGCCAGACCCCAGAACUCUAAGGAUAAAUCUCUUUUGUAAAUGAAUUACUUAAUCUCAGGUAUUCUGUAUGGCAGCAAACAAAGGACUAAGACACCGUGUGAGACUUGAUUUUCUUCAUAUACUUCAACCAAAAUAACAUCUUGUAACAGACUGAAUGAGAAGCAGAGAGAUGUGAAAAUUCAGCUAUUUUUCUACUGAGCCUGACAUUAAAGAGGUUUUCAAAAUGUAAAAGCAGUGCUGCUGUUUUCACUGA